UACGGCCGGAUCACGUUGGAACACCAAUUCCCGUACUUUCACCAAAGUUAAGCAAUGUCGAGCCUGGUCAGUACCUUAAUGAGUGACCACUUGGGAAUAUCAGAUGCU